ensembl:lncRNA
AGCUCCUGUAAACACCGGCUGUAGAAGGUCGCCAUAAUAAACUCAGCUUAUUGAGCAGCGGACGACCGGAAGCCAAGACCACUGUUUUGUAGAACCCGGAAGAAUGUUGCGCAUAAGGCCUAUUGAAGCUUCGAGCAUGAACCACUUUGGUGGUUCAUCUGGCUGAGAGGCUUUGACGUUUCAUGAGGCAUCAUCUAGGCACCACUAGUAGCGGGUGAGACAGCCACCACGCACCAUGCGACAAGCAGACUAUGCUCUGGUCAGCGGCGGUAAACGACCCCAAUAUAUUGCCCCGAUUGCGAUGAGGAUCUCGGCAGAUCUGUGCUCUGAGGUGAGCGGCAAAGGCAACGACCCAGAAGUGGAGAGAGUUCAGGAGGAAGGGCACGGCCUAUUUUUAUCCACUCGACAAACAAUGAUUGGCGAACGAGCCGGAGAGGGCGUGGUGAAACAGAAGCCUGUGUCUAAUGCUGCUAUCCAUGUGGAUGUACGAGGUCGCAAAUCUCCCAGCUUUCUUGCGGCAUUUCACUGAGGCACGCCCCCUUUCGGUCGUAGUAUCUCGUCGCUUUCAAAGUAGAGCGAGCAGAUCUGUACAACUAGCAAAGAAGAUGGCUGCGCCCGUAGUCAAUGGGGAUUGAGCUGUAUUUUCUUUGUAUUUGUACCACGUUGGGUUUUCUUCCCAAACUCGUCGGACACAAAUGGCAAACUGGAAGGCUGGAGCAAGGGAAAUACGUCAGGUUCUCGCUGAAGCUGGUCGUUCGUACCAGCCUACCAUCAAAAUGGAUAGCAGCAGCAGUGUUGCCUCAUACCACUACACUUAUAACACGAUCUGGCCAAGAAUGGACCCAGCCCAGACGGACGACCGCAUCUCCCGGAUGGAGAACGCGCUGCAGCAGGUGAUGGCUGCCACCAGGGCCGCCACAGCUCAGGGACAACAAGACCUGGCACAAGUCCGCCAGGAAUUGGCGAACGUCCUCCUCUGGCCCCAGCGGUAACCGAAACUGCCGCCCCUCCACCCCGUGAGCCGAAUGUGGGAGCCCCCGAACGUUACGAUGGCAACCCUACCACCUGCAACGCCUUCCUGUGCAAUUGCUCCAUAAUCUUCUCCCUUCAGCCGCUCACCUUCGCCUCCAAAGAAACCCGGGUGGCUUACACCAAAAACCACCUCUCCAGAUGGGCGCGUCUUUGGGGCACCGCUGAAUGGCAGAGAGGGACCCCCGUCUGUCGCUCCUUCCGCUCCUUUGCCGAAGAGCUUAGGAGAAUCUUCGGAACCGGUCCUCUGGGAGCUGAGGCAGGACGAGAAUUGUUGGCCCUGUCCCAGGGAAGCCGUUCUGUCUCGGACUACGCUAUCGAGUUCCGCACCAGGGCCCCCAUGUGGGAUUGGAUUGGCCCGCCCUCCGUGAUGUCUUCCAACAAGGGCUGUCUGGGUACAUCAAAGGUGAGCUCGUUGCCCACGACCCGCCAUCCUCACUGGAGGCCCUGAUCGAGCUCGCUACCCGCCUCGACCUCUGAAUCCCGCCACGCAGUCCUUCUCGCCCUUGGUCCCCAGUAAUCCCCUCCUUCUUUCCGCUGACCUCAACCUCCCGCUUGGGGAGGGGGGAUCCCGAGCCCAUGCAGGUGGGUCGCACCCAUCUUUCCCCGGAGGAGAAGGAGAGAAGACAGAGGCAGAAUCUCUGUUUGUACUGCGGUCAGCCAGGACACUUCGCUGAUCGAUGCCCGGUAAAAUUCAGAGCUCACCAGUAACCAGAGGCAUACUGGUGAGCUCCAUCGCAGACUCUACCUCUCCCAUUAGACCCACUCUUUCCGGUGAGCUCCUGUUGCCUUCCGGUUC